rnacentral:tRNA from 1 species
GGGCGCGUAUCUCAAGCGGAUAGAGCAUCGGAUUUCUAAUCCGAGGGUUGCAGGUUCAAGUCCUGCCGCGCCUACCA